rnacentral:rRNA from 1 species
AGUGAACGCUGGCGGUAGGCCUAACACAUGCAAGUCGAACGGCAGCACAGGAGAGCUUGCUCUCUGGGUGGCGAGUGGCGGACGGGUGAGGAAUACAUCGGAAUCUACUCUGUCGUGGGGGAUAACGUAGGGAAACUUACGCUAAUACCGCAUACGGCCUACGGGUGAAAGCAGGGGACCUUCGGGCCUUGCGCGAUUGAAUGAGCCGAUGUCGGAUUAGCUAGUUGGCGGGGUAAAGGCCCACCAAGGCGACGAUCCGUAGCUGGUCUGGGAGGAGGAGCAGCCAAACUGGAACUGAGACACGGUCCAGACUCCUACGGGAGGCAGCAGUGGGGAAUAUUGGACAAUGGGCGCAAGCCUGAUCCAGCCAUACCGCGUGGGUGAAGAAGGCCUUCGGGUUGUAAAGCCCUUUUGUUGGGAAAGAAAUCCAGCUGGCUAAUACCCGGUUGGGAUGACGGUACCCAAAGAAUAAGCACCGGCUAACUUCGUGCCAGCAGCCGCCGUAA